rnacentral:rRNA from 1 species
CCUACGGGUGGCAGCAGUCGAGAAUCAUUCACAAUGGGGGAAACCCUGAUGGUGCGACGCCGCGUGGGUGAAUGAAGGUCUUCGGAUUGUAAACCCCUGUCAUGUGGGAGCAAAUUAUAACGAUAGUACCAUCAGAGGAAGAGACUGCUAACUCUGUGCCAGCAGCCGCGGUAAUACAGAGGUCUCAAGCGUUGUUCGGAAUCACUGGUCGUAAGGCGUGCGUAGGCUGUUUCGUAAGUCGUGUGUGAAAGGCGCGGGCUCAACCCGCGGACGGCACAUGAGACUGCGAGACUAGAGUAAUGGAGGGGGAACCGGAAUUCUCGGUGGAGCAGUGAAAUGCGUAGAUAUCGGGAGGAACACUCGUGGCGAAGGCGGGUUCCUGGACAUUAACUGACGCUGAGGCACGAAGGCCAGGGGAGCGAAAGGGAUUAGAUACCCUAGUAGUC